rnacentral:rRNA from 1 species
GACGAACGCUGGCGGCGUGCCUAAUACAUGCAAGUAGAACGCUGAAGGAGGAGCUUGCCUCUCUGGAUGAGUUGCGAACGGGUGAGUAACGCGUAGGUAACCUGCCUGGUAGCGGGGGAUAACUAUUGGAAACGAUAGCUAAUACCGCAUAAUAGUAGAUGUUGCAUGACAUUUGCUUAAAAGGUGCAAUUGCAUCACUACCAGAUGGACCUGCGUUGUAUUAGCUAGUUGGUGGGGUAACGGCUCACCAAGGCGACGAUACAUAGCCGACCUGAGAGGGUGAUCGGCCACACUGGGACUGAGACACGGCCCAGACUCCUACGGGAGGCAGCAGUAGGGAAUCUUCGGCAAUGGACGGAAGUCUGACCGAGCAACGCCGAGUGAGUGAAGAAGGGUUUCGGAUCGUAAAGCUCUGUUGUAAGAGAAGAACGAGUGUGAGAGUGGAAAGUUCACACUGUGACGGUAUCUUACCAGAAAGGGACGGCUAACUACGUG